rnacentral:rRNA from 1 species
CCCGUUAACGACGCUCAUGCUCGAAGGCGCGGGUAUCAAACAGGAUUAGAUACCCUGGUAGUCCGCGCGGUAAACGAUGAGUGCUCGGGAUUUGGGCAUUAGCCUGAGUCCCCCAGCGAAAGCGUUAAGCACUCCACCUGGGGAGUACGCCGGCAACGGUGAAACUCAAAGGAAUUGACGGGGGCCCGCGCAAGCGGAGGAACAUGUGGUUUAAUUCGAUGAUACGCGAGGAACCUUACCCGGGCUUGAAAUGUGCAUGACGACCCCGAGAGACCGGGGUCUCCUUCGGGCAUGCAUGUAGGUGCUGCAUGGUUGUCGUCAGCUCGUGCCGUGAGGUGUCGGCUCAAGUGCCAUAACGAGCGCAACCCCUUCCGCCGGUUACCAUCGGGUUAUGCCGGGGACUCCGGCGGCACUGCCGCCGCAAGGCGUGAGGAAGGCGGGGAUGACGUCAAAUCAGCACGGCCCUCACGUCCGGGGCCACACACGUGUUACAAUGGGGGGCACAGCGAGCGGGAUGAUGGCGACAUCAUUCGAAUCAAUAAAUCCCCUCCCAGUUCGGACUGGAGUCUGCAACCCGACUCCACGAAGCCGGAUUCGCUAG